GAUGAACGCUAGCGGCAGGCCUAAUACAUGCAAGUCGAACGGUGUCUUCGGACAUAGUGGCGCACGGGUGCGUAACACGUAUGCAACCUACCUUACAUUGGGGGAUAGCCUUUCGAAAGGGAGAUUAAUACCGCAUAAGACAGUAGCUGGGCAUCCAGCAGCUGUUAAAGAUUUAUCGAUGUAAGCUGGGCAUGCGUCCAAUUAGCUAGUUGGUGAGGUAAUGGCUCACCAAGACGAUGAUUGGUAGGGGAACUGAGAGGUCAAUCCCCCACACUGGCACUGAGAUACGGGCCAGACUCCUACGGGAGGCAGCAGUAGGGAAUAUUGGGCAAUGGGCGCAAGCCUGACCCAGCCAUGCCGCGUGCAGGAAGAAGGCGUUAUGCGUUGUAAACUGCUUUUAUACAGGAAGAAACGACCCUUGCGAGGGGCAUUGACGGUACUGUAUGAAUAAGCACCGGCUAACUCCGUGCCAGCCGCCGCUGUAACAC
rnacentral:rRNA from 1 species